rnacentral:rRNA from 1 species
ACCUGACUGCUAUCGGAUUGAUACUAAGCCAUGCGAGUCAUUGUAGCAAUACAAGGCAUACGGCUCAGUAACGCGUAGUCAACCUAACCUAUGGACGGGAAUAACCUCGGGAAACUGAGAAUAAUGCCCGAUAGAACACUAUACCUGGAAUGGUUUGUGUUCCAAAUGAUUUAUCGCCAUAGGAUGGGACUGCGGCCUAUCAGUUUGUUGGUGAGGUAAUGGCCCACCAAGACUAUUACAGGUACGGGCUCUGGGAGGAGUAGCCCGGAGAUGGGUACUGAGACACGGACCCAGGCCCUAUGGGGCGCAGCAGGCGAGAAAACUUUGCAAUGUGCGAAAGCACGACAAGGUUAAUCCGAGUGAUUUCUGCUAAAGAGAUCUUUUGUUAGUUCUAGAAACACUAACGAAUAAGGGGUGGGCAAGUUCUGGUGUCAGCCGCCGCGGUAAAACCAGCACCUCAAGUGGUCAGGAUGAUUAUUGGGCCUAAAGCAUCCGUAGCCGGCUCUGUAAGUUUUCGGUUAAAUCUGUACGCUCAACGUACAGGCUGCCGGGAAUACUGCAGAACUAGGGAGUGGGAGAGGUAGACGGUACUCGGUAGGAAGUGGUAAAAUGCUUUGAUCUAUCGAUGACCACCUGUGGCGAAGGCGGUCUACCAGAACACGUCCGACGGUGAGGGAUGAAAGCUGGGGGAGCAAACCGGAUUAGAUACCCGGGUAGUCCCAGCUGUAAACUAUGCAAACUCAGUGAUGCAUUGGCUUGUGGCCAAUGCAGUGCUGCAGGGAAGCCGUUAAGUUUGCCGCCUGGGAAGUACGUACGCAAGUAUGAAACUUAAAGGAAUUGGCGGGGGAGCACCACAAGGGGUGAAGCCUGCGGUUC